GCUGGGUGUGGUGGCGCACGCCAGUAAUCCCAGCAGCUUGGGAGGCUGGGGCAGGAGGAUUGCAAGUUCAAAGCCAGCCUUGGCAUUUUGGUGAGACCCUAAGCAACUUAGCAAGACUCUGUCUUAA
rnacentral:sRNA from 1 species